rnacentral:rRNA from 1 species
UGCAACAGAGCAGGUAUCAGGCCCAACAACGUUAGCCCACCACACCUUGCCAAGCCACAUCCCCACGGACCAUACAGCAGUGACCAACAUUAGGCAAUAAGCAUUCCAAGCUUGACCUAGCUAAAACCCUUUUGGCCGGCAAAUCUCGUGCCAGCAGCCGCGGUUACACGGGGGGCCAAAAAUAAUAUACUAACGGCGUAAAGAGUGACCACAGAUUUCCCACCUUCACCGGAUUCCAAAAUUUUACCUUAGAGAUGAAAUCCCAAGACAUCUGGACCUCCAAAAUAUCCCACGAACAGGCCAUCCGACUCACGAAAAUCGGGGCACAAACUAGGAUU